AGGUCGGAAAUUUAGUGACAUGGUAUGGUAUUGGUUUUUUUACCGUAUAGUACGGUAUCUAGAGUUUAGCGCAGUUUCAUUCGGAGCGCUUUUGUCAUUCUCUAUCAGUUGUUGGCGGAGGUAGAUGCGUGAAGCCUUUGUCACCUUUUGCUUCUGUAAAUUCAUGGUUAUAUUUUGUUGGAAGAAGGUUUUAGUAUUCAUGCAGUUACAAACACCAGAAUGGGGAGUGUGUGAUGUAUGUUUAAGUGGAAAUACCAAGGAUCCCAUUGAUCCUGGUGAUAUGUAUAUACUCCUGUAUACACAUGAAUAAUUAAUUGGAAAAAUGUAAAUAUAAACAGUAUGAGUGAUCAAUAAGUAUGUUAGAGUUAUCCUGAAAAGAAAAUAAAGACUAUCUGAACUCUGAUGAAA